CAGUGUAAACACAAGAAUCAACACUGCAAAAGUGACCUCCAUGUGAUUCACAGGAAGGAUGCAUAUAAGCUUGGGACCUUUCUGCCUUGCUGAUGCAACAUCUGGACAGCAUUCAGGGUUGUUUCUCAAGGACACAAGCGUGCACCUCCGGUGAAUUUCAACUUUCAACAUCUCUCUGGCUCUAAUCUAUAUUUAAUGUUUCAUGACUGGUAGUCAAAGAAGCUUCAGCUAAAUAUCAGGUUGGAAUGAAAAUGAUCCUUGGGAGAACAUUUGCUUCCAGUGUGCGCCAGCAAAGUGUCUGUGACAGAGGCUUUCCCCGGAGAUUUGUUGCCCAUUCUCUUGCAGUAAUAAUAAUUACGCCUUAUGAUUGCUGUGCCCACAUAAUCAAAGAUCGCUUCAUCAAAUGUGAUCCCGAGGGGAAGCUUCCUCUGCUCCUAACUGGAUGUCAGUCACAGAGAGCAGCACCCCUAGGGAGCCCCAAUCUUUCUUUUACCCUUUUCAGUACUGUGUUGUUAGCAUUGUGUUUCUUCAUAUUCUUCUCAAUGCAAAUGAUGUGUAAAUCAUGCCCUCCAGAAGGCACAUGUGGUGAGGGGGAGAGGAUGGGGAGGGGGGUGGGGCUGGUGUAUUCUUCUCCCCCGGCUCCCCUCCCCAACCUACCACAGGGAUUUCUCGCAUGGAACAUAAUUACAUCUGUGCCAUAUGGGCUCAUUUAUAUUCUAUUACAGGUUAAGCUAAUACGACUCAGAAAUAUGCUAAAAAUACCUCAAAGUAUUCUAGAGCUGUCAAAACACUUGUCAUUUAUUGCUCACCCGUUUGAUUGCUAGUGUUUUUGUUUUUGUUGGGAGAUUCAGAGAGCUAAGAGAGCAUGCUGGCAUUCUGGUGUCCGGUCUAUAAAUAUAGUUUAAUUUCCUGUAUUAUUGCAAUCUUUGGGCUUGCAAAGAAAAUAUCUUUCUUUAUAAACCUGGAAUGGCCGCAAGACAUGGGCGCUGAAGCCCCUAUACUUGUAGAUUUUAAUUUCCCAAGAGGUAGAAAAUACAGAUUUCAGAUGUGUGGUUUUGUCAGCUUUAGAAUAUUUCUUGUCUUUGUUUGAUAUAAUUAUUCAUUGUGAUAGAGAAACACCUGCAGCAGGCUGACAUACCAGAGAAACGUGCUGCUUGAGCUAUAAGAGUUGGUUUGGAUGUCAGGCAAAUCUUGUUGAGAUUUUACAUGUGGCAUGAUAAUGAGAAGUACAAUCUGUAAUGAGUAAUGAGUUCAAUAAUGAUUUACAGGGGCACGUUGGGUUGUUUGUAUGCAAUGGUUAAAGUCCAUCAGCCCGUUAAUUUCUACCAUCAGCUUGGAAAGUUGGUAGGUCAUGUUUGUGUAGACUCUUAACCUAAUGGUUUGAUUAUGUAAUUAAUGUUUUCCAUUAUUGCUAUCUUAACGUAUUAGCGGAAUUUUUAAAAAUGAGUCUUGGGAACAGAAGAGCAAGAACAACUACUGUACUCUCCUAUGCUUGACAAGUAACAUUUCCAAAGGGGAUAUGGUGUUAACCACAGUAUCAGCCAUAAAUUAAGUAUGCAGACCAUUUAACUGAAAACUGAACUCCCACAAAAGCAUACUUUUCUAAUUUGCUAAUAACUGUACUAUACUAUCUGGUUGAAGGAGUAGUUAAGACUUCCUGGUUCCAAUCUCAACUCUGCUACUUACUAGCUUGUUAUCUUGGCAAAUUCCAUAAUUUUUCCAUUUCCCUUGUCUAUAAAAUGAGCAUAGGAAUAGUAGCUUCCCCAUGGGAUUGUUGGAAAUAUUAAAUGAGACAAUACAUGUAAAUACUAAGGCACAGUGUCUGCCACAUAAUAAUCACUUAGUAAAUACUUGUUAUUAUUAUUGUAGAUUUUUACUUCUAAUAUAAACAGCUUCUUUAUAAUUAUAUGGCUCUUUUAGUUACAAAAUUAGGUUUUUGCCAAAAUCAUGUUAGUUGCACAAACUUCCAUUUAUCUUAGAUCAUACAAGCCAGAGGUUCUUGGCAUUUUUGGAUUUUACAACCAAGUUCUUACUCCACUUAGAAUCAGUAGAAAUAUUAUGAAUGGGCAUGGGAAGAAAUAGAAAAAUUCAAUGUUAAUACAUCAAAGACAAGAUUUUUUUACUUAACAUAAAAUUUAAAAAUAUUUGUACAUUUAGGAUUGCUCAGAAUACAAAGUGUCUGAACUCAUGCAAUUGAAAUGUUACAUUUAAGUAAAUAAUAAAGAACUGCA